rnacentral:rRNA from 1 species
UUCCGUAGGGGAACCUGCGGAGGGAUCAUUAAUGAGUUACCGCUCUAUAACCCUUUGUGAACAAACCUUAAUGUUGGUUCGGCGGGUUGGGGGANUCCGUCCCCCCCCCCGGCCGCGCCCCUCGSGGGGCGUGGCGCCCGCCGGAGGAUACCAAAACUYUWUUUUAACGACGUCUCUUCUGAGUGGCACAAGCAAAUAAUUAAAACUUUUAACAACGGAUCUCUUGGUUCUGGCAUCGAUGAAGAACSCAGCGAAAUGCGAUAAGUAAUGUGAAUUGCARAAUUCAGUGAAUCAUCGAAUCUUUGAACGCACAUUGCGCCCGCCAGCACUAUGGCGGGCAUGCCUGUUCGAGCGUCWUUUCAACCCUCAAGCUCCGCUUGGUGUUGGGGCCCUACGGUGGACGUAGGCCCUUAAAGGUAGKGGCGGACCCUCCCGGAGCCUCCUUUGCGUAKUAACUAACGUCUCGCAUCGGGAUCCGGAGGGACUCCUGCCGUAAAACCCCCAACUUUUUACCGGUUGACCUCGAAUCAGGUAGGAAUACCCNUUGAACUUAAGCAUAUCAAUAAGCGGAGGAA